rnacentral:rRNA from 1 species
CGAUAUCAAUAAGCGGAGGAAAAGAAAAUAACAAUGAUUCCCCUAGUAACUGCGAGUGAAGAGGGACAAGCUCAAAUUUUAAAUCUGAUGGGUUCUACUUAUCAGAAUUGUAAUUUGAAGAGACGUUUUCUGUGUCUUGUGUUAAACUAAAUCUUUUGGAACAAGGUAUCAUGGAGGGUGACAGUCCCGUUCAUGGUCAACAUCAAGAUACGUUACGAUACGUUUUCUAAGAGUCGAGUUGUUUGGGAUUGCAGCUCAAAAUGGGAGGUAAAUUUCUCCUAAGGCUAAAUAUUGGCGAGAGACCGAUAGCGAACAAGUACCGUGAGGGAAAGAUGAAAAGAACUUUGAAAAGAGAGUCAAACAGUACGUGAAAUUGUUGAAAGGGAAACGAUUGAAGUCAGUCAUACUAACGGGAAAUCAACCUAUUUGAGUUGUGAAUUUUGGAUUUUGAAGAGUGUAAACCUUCUGGUUCAAAUAUUUGCGCUUUUUGGGCGUCAUUUCUCGUUCGGUAAGUUAACAUCGAUUUUGAAUAUUAUAAAAUGACUAGAGGAAUGUAGCUUCGAUCUCGUAUUGAAGUGUUAUAGCCUUUGGUAGAUGUAAUGAUCAAGAUCGAGGAUUGCAACGAAUACCCUUUGGGCUAUCCGUCUGAUCUCUGAUACGUUGCCUUGGUAACGAAAGCUUGCUUACGGUAUUGAGGUAUAACGGUCAAAAGGUUAGAACGUGAUUACAUUCGUUAAGGAUGUUGACGUA